rnacentral:rRNA from 1 species
AUGCACAUCCUACAGAGCUUCAGCGACGCCUCGGGCCUUCGGAACAACCUAGCUAAAUCCACGGCCACGACGAUCCACUGCAAUGACAUCGACUUAGAGCUAGUUCUUCAGGCGUUUCGCGGCCCGAUUUCCCACUUCCCAAUUAGAUAUCUAGGUCUGCCGAUCACCACGGGCCGGCUACGUCUAGUCCACCUGCAGUUCAUCCUCGACCGAAUCAGGGCCCGGCUCGCGGGGUGGAAGGGACGAAUGCUGACCAUGGCGGGUAGGCACGUCCUUGUUCGCUGCGUCCUCUCGGCCCUGCCCACCUUCGCCCUCACAGCGCUGUGA